rnacentral:tRNA from 1 species
GGGAAGAUGACUCAGUAGUAGAGUGCAUGCCUUGCAAGCAUGAGGCCCUAGGAUCGAGUCCUCAACCA